rnacentral:lncRNA from 1 species
GUGUGAUGGCUGCCACGGCAGCCCAGAGGACUCUAGGAUGCUACUUCCAGGAAAUCCGCUACUCAACGUGGAUGGAUUCCCUGUCCGGGAAGGAAACCAGAUUGCCUUCACAGCAGGGAGGAGCUCGCUGCCUGCCUUGCCAGCCAGGUGGAAUUUCAUUUCUCUAUGCUCGUGGGAUCUUGCACUUUAAUAAAGUUUCGUUAGUCA